rnacentral:lncRNA from 1 species
CUACUUAUGAGCGUUGAGUGUGGUCAAGCUGUGUAGACCGUUAGGAGCUUGUCAUAUGGUUAAAAUCAAGAUUCACUUGCACGUUCACUCAUACAUGUUGCUUCUACUCUGGAAGUACACAUCCACAUACAUCCACUCAUUUCCUUAUCCAGAUUCACCCAAAAUUAUCUACUCCUAUCUAGGAGAGAAUAGCCAAAAACAUUAUCCUAUCUCUGUUAUUCCCCAUGAAAUAAAUGCUCAAGAUAUUUUGGUUACUACCACUUGCUACAUUAUUUCAGGUGGGUGAGUGCUCUGAAAAAAAAAGUGAAUACGAGGAAAUAAAAAGGGGCAAGUGCUUGAAACCUCGAAAAAAAAGAUAAAGUGAGACGAGAGGUAAAAAUGGACAAGUGUCCGACAGUAGAAUUAAGGGUACAAAAUACCCACCUGAGAGAAAAAGAAAAGAUAGAGCAUCUCAUUCUCAAGAGUUUCCAAGAGCAAGAAAGGUAUGUAUCCCC